rnacentral:ncRNA from 1 species
UCACGAACAAGGCAAACCACUCGAAAGAUUGGGACGCAAAGCUUCCGGCCUAACAGAAAUGAAUUUCAUCUUUUUUUCUCAUGGUAGCGGGGUUGCCGAU